AUGGCAAAGCAAAACCCACAGAAAUCCCACACAGGGAUAUUAAGAGUGGGUAUGGCAGCCUCAGCUCUCCCUCCUCGCCCAUCACAGAUGCCCCCACCGUGUCACCCAAGAGCCCCAAGCCCUCUCUCCCGCCUCUUUGUUCUGCACAGCCAGCGGCGCCGAUGCACCAGGGUGGGGUGCAGCCCCCUGUGCUGCCUCACGCUCUCCCCGCACAGGCACAGCCAGGUUGGAGCUUCCCUGCAGGAGCUGGGCUGCAUCCCUCGGGCUCGUUGGAGCCCUGACAGCCGUGACGAGCCCGGCGUGGCGCGGGCGAGGGGGCCCCCAUUGUCUGCCGGCGCAGCGGGGCCCUGCCACAAUGAGCCGUGCAUUGAACCACUGCUGCCAAACAGAUGGCGUCUGCAGGCUCAAGGUGAAGCAAAGGUCAGAGGCCAAGGAGAGCAGAGUGGGGGCAGAGCCCCUCUGCCCACCCACGGCGAGGGGGGGGCAGCCAGGCCACCCCGUGUCCCAGAUGACACAGCCACCACAGCGGGUGACACCACGGCUGGUGACACCACGGCUGUCCCCAAUCCACCCAGCACAUCCACAGCCGGCGCCCACCCCCGGCUCCCUGCCCACAACCCGGAGCAGGUGGAGGCAGCCAGGUGUGUCCAGCAGGGAUGUCAGGCAGCCAGACGCGCGCUGAAUGAGGAUGCUGGAGCCACCUGCCAUCGCCCAGUGGCAGGGCUGUGGCAGGGCUGUGGCAGGGCUGGGCCCUCCCGCGGAGCGCUGUGGGAACGCUCCGAGCCCCAUCCGCAGGGAUGCUCCGAGUCGGGGGUCGGCGCGGGGAUGGGGCAGGGCCCGGGGGGGAUGGGGUACAAGGGACAGGGCCCCACCCCGCCCAGGCUGAACCCCGCUCGGAGCCAGCCCCGUGCCCUCCGCAGCGCUACCCCGGUACCUGCGCGCUGCCUCUGCCCGACUCCCCGCCGCUGCCCGCCGCCGCCGCCACCUCAGGCGGGGCGGGCGGUUCCGGUGGUGGUGGUGGCGGCGGGGGAGGCCCGACGUCGGGACCCGCCACCCUGUCACGGCGAGGCCCGGAGCCACCUGCCGCCGCCGCUGCCGCCGCCGUUGCCGCCGUUGCCGCCUUGUUCCGCCGGCGAGUCAUGGCGAGCCCGCCGCAGCCAGGACAACAGCCAAUAUGGCGGCGCGGCCCGUCCGGCCCCUGCCCGUGGGAAGGAGGGAGGGAGGGAGGGGGGAACGCUCGGUGAGGUGAAGCCGCCGCCGCCAUCUUGCGAGAGGGCAGAGCCCGCCCCCUGGCGGACAGGGGGAGUGGCGGCAGCGCUGCGAGUUCGAGUCCCGAGCCCGCCCCCGCCGCCCGAGGCUCCCGCGGGUCCCAAAGGCGCCGGUGACCAACCGAGAUCGGGGGUGGGUCGUGAUCGUACCCCCAGCUGGAUCAUCGGAGUGCAACUGCUGGGGCUCAGACUGAAAGAGAGAAGGAUUGGAUUAGAUAUUAGGAAAAAAAGUCUUCCCUGUGAGGGUGGGGAGGCCCUGGCACAGGCUGGCCGGAGAAGCUGUGGCUGCCCCAUCCCUGGGAGUGUUCGAGGCCAGGUCGGAUGGGGUUUGGAGCGACCUGGGACAGUGGAAGGUGUCCCUGUGCAUGCCAGAGGGAUGGAACGAGAUGAUCUUUAA
ensembl:lncRNA